rnacentral:rRNA from 1 species
CCUACGGGAGGCAGCAGUAGGGAAUAUUGCUCAAUGGGGGAAACCCUGAAGCAGCAACGCCGCGUGGAGGAUGAAGGUUUUCGGAUUGUAAACUCCUUUUGUUAGAGAAGAUAAUGACGGUAUCUAACGAAUAAGCACCGGCUAACUCCGUGCCAGCAGCCGCGGUAAUACGGAGGGUGCAAGCGUUACUCGGAAUCACUGGGCGUAAAGCGCGCGUAGGCGGGAUAGCAAGUCAGCUGUGAAAUCCUAUGGCUUAACCAUAGAACUGCAUUUGAAACUGUUAUUCUAGAGUAUGGGAGAGGUAGGUGGAAUUCUUGGUGUAGGGGUAAAAUCCGUAGAGAUCAAGAGGAAUACUCAUUGCGAAGGCGACCUGCUAGAACAUAACUGACGCUGAUGCGCGAAAGCGUGGGGAGCAAACAGGAUUAGAUACCCCAGUAGUC